GAUGAAGAACGUAGCGAAAUGCGAUACUUGGUGUGAAUUGCAGAAUCCCGUGAACCAUCGAGUCUUUGAACGCAAGUUGCGCCCGAAGCCACUAGGCCGAGGGCACGCCUGCCUGGGCGUCACACGCCGUUGCCCCCCCAUCUACUCCUUCGGGAUUGCGGGGGGGCGGAUGAUGGCCUCCCGUGCGCCUAGCCGCGCGGUUGGCAUAAAUACCAAGCCCUCGGCGACGCACGCCACGACAAUCGGUGGUUGCGAAACCUCGGUUGCCCGUCGUGUGCGUUCGUCGCGCAUCGAGGGCUCGAAAAAAUGCUCGGCUCCGGCUGGGCUUUCAACGCGACCCCAGGUCAGGCGGGGUUACCCGCUGAAUUUAAGCAUAUCAAUAAGCGGAGGA
rnacentral:misc_RNA from 1 species